GGUCAAGUGAAGAAGCGCAUACGGUGGAUGCCUUGGCAGUCAGAGGCGAUGAAAGACGUGGUAGCCUGCGAAAAGCUUCGGGGAGUCGGCAAACAGACUGUGAUCCGGAGAUGUCUGAAUGGGGGAACCCAGCCAUCAUAAGAUGGUUAUCUUGUACUGAAUACAUAGGUGCAAGAGGCGAACCAGGGGAACUGAAACAUCUAAGUACCCUGAGGAAAAGAAAUCAACCGAGAUUCCCUUAGUAGUGGCGAGCGAACGGGGACUAGCCCUUAAGUGGCUUUGAGAUUAGCGGAACGCUCUGGAAAGGGCGGCCAUAGUGGGUGAUAGCCCUGUACGCGAAAAUCUCUUAGUCAUGAAAUCGAGUAGGACGGAGCACGAGAAACUUUGUCUGAAUAUGGGGGGACCAUCCUCCAAGGCUAAAUACUACUGACUGACCGAUAGUGAACUAGUACCGUGAGGGAAAGGCGAAAAGAACCCCGGAGAGGGGAGUGAAAUAGAUCCUGAAACCGUAUGCGUACAAGCAGUGGGAGCCCACUUUGUUGGGUGACUGCGUACCUUUUGUAUAAUGGGUCAGCGACUUAUUUUCAGUGGCGAGCUUAACCGAAUAGGGGAGGCGUAGCGAAAGCGAGUCUUAAUAGGGCGUCUAGUCGCUGGGAAUAGACCCGAAACCGGGCGAUCUAUCCAUGGGCAGGUUGAAGGUUGGGUAACACUAACUGGAGGACCGAACCGACUACCGUUGAAAAGUUAGCGGAUGACCUGUGGAUCGGAGUGAAAGGCUAAUCAAGCUCGGAGAUAGCUGGUUCUCCUCGAAAGCUAUUUAGGUAGCGCCUCAUGUAUCACUGUAGGGGGUAGAGCACUGUUUCGGCUAGGGGGUCAUCCCGACUUACCAAACCGAUGCAAACUCCGAAUACCUACAAGUGCCGAGCAUGGGAGACACACGGCGGGUGCUAACGUCCGUCGUGAAAAGGGAAACAACCCAGACCGUCAGCUAAGGUCCCAAAGUUAUGGUUAAGUGGGAAACGAUGUGGGAAGGCUUAGACAGCUAGGAGGUUGGCUUAGAAGCAGCCACCCUUUAAAGAAAGCGUAAUAGCUCACUAGUCGAGUCGGCCUGCGCGGAAGAUGUAACGGGGCUCAAACCAUACACCGAAGCUACGGGUAUCACUUAGGUGAUGCGGUAGAGGAGCGUUCUGUAAGCCUGUGAAGGUGAGUUGAGAAGCUUGCUGGAGGUAUCAGAAGUGCGAAUGCUGACAUGAGUAACGACAAUGGGUGUGAAAAACACCCACGCCGAAAGACCAAGGUUUCCUGCGCAACGUUAAUCGACGCAGGGUUAGUCGGUCCCUAAGGCGAGGCUGAAAAGCGUAGUCGAUGGAAAACAGGUUAAUAUUCCUGUACUUCUGGUUAUUGCGAUGGAGGGACGGAGAAGGCUAGGCCAGCUUGGCGUUGGUUGUCCAAGUUUAAGGUGGUAGGCUGAGAUCUUAGGUAAAUCCGGGAUCUAAGGCCGAGAGCUGAUGACGAGUACCCUUUGGGUGACGAAGUGGUUGAUGCCAUGCUUCCAAGAAAAGCUUCUAAGCUUCAGGUAACCAGGAACCGUACCCCAAACCGACACAGGUGGUUGGGUAGAGAAUACCAAGGCGCUUGAGAGAACUCGGGUGAAGGAACUAGGCAAAAUGGCACCGUAACUUCGGGAGAAGGUGCGCCGGUGAGGGUGAAGCACUUGCUGCGUAAGCCCACGCCGGUCGAAGAUACCAGGCCGCUGCGACUGUUUAUUAAAAACACAGCACUCUGCAAACACGAAAGUGGACGUAUAGGGUGUGACGCCUGCCCGGUGCCGGAAGGUUAAUUGAUGGGGUUAGCUAACGCGAAGCUCUUGAUCGAAGCCCCGGUAAACGGCGGCCGUAACUAUAACGGUCCUAAGGUAGCGAAAUUCCUUGUCGGGUAAGUUCCGACCUGCACGAAUGGCGUAACGAUGGCGGCGCUGUCUCCACCCGAGACUCAGUGAAAUUGAAAUCGCUGUGAAGAUGCAGUGUAUCCGCGGCUAGACGGAAAGACCCCGUGAACCUUUACUAUAGCUUUGCACUGGACUUUGAAUUUGCUUGUGUAGGAUAGGUGGGAGGCUUUGAAGCGUGGACGCCAGUUCGCGUGGAGCCAACCUUGAAAUACCACCCUGGCAACUUUGAGGUUCUAACUCAGGUCCGUUAUCCGGAUCGAGGACAGUGUAUGGUGGGUAGUUUGACUGGGGCGGUCUCCUCCUAAAGAGUAACGGAGGAGUACGAAGGUGCGCUCAGACCGGUCGGAAAUCGGUCGUAGAGUAUAAAGGCAAAAGCGCGCUUGACUGCGAGACAGACACGUCGAGCAGGUACGAAAGUAGGUCUUAGUGAUCCGGUGGUUCUGUAUGGAAGGGCCAUCGCUCAACGGAUAAAAGGUACUCCGGGGAUAACAGGCUGAUACCGCCCAAGAGUUCAUAUCGACGGCGGUGUUUGGCACCUCGAUGUCGGCUCAUCACAUCCUGGGGCUGAAGCCGGUCCCAAGGGUAUGGCUGUUCGCCAUUUAAAGUGGUACGCGAGCUGGGUUUAGAACGUCGUGAGACAGUUCGGUCCCUAUCUGCCGUGGACGUUUGAGAUUUGAGAGGGGCUGCUCCUAGUACGAGAGGACCGGAGUGGACGAACCUCUGGUGUUCCGGUUGUCACGCCAGUGGCAUUGCCGGGUAGCUAUGUUCGGAAAAGAUAACCGCUGAAAGCAUCUAAGCGGGAAACUUGCCUCAAGAUGAGAUCUCACUGGGACCUUGAGUCCCCUGAAGGGCCGUCGAAGACUACGACGUUGAUAGGUGGGGUGUGUAAGCGCUGUGAGGCGUUGAGCUAACCCAUACUAAUUGCCCGUGAGGCUUGACCAU
rnacentral:rRNA from 1 species